GCCUUUGUGGCGUAGUGGUAGCGCGUCGCACUUGUAAUUUCCUCUGGGGAUAUUAUGUAAUGCGAAGGUCACUAGUUCAAUCCUGGUCGGAGGCA